GGCGGCAUGCCUAACACAUGCAAGUCAAACGCUAUUUAUAGAGUGGCGCACGGGUGAGUAACGCGUGGGAACCUGCCUUUUUCUGCGGGAUAACGGUUGGAAACGACCGCUAAUACCGCAUACGCCCUACGGGGGAAAGGUCCGCCGGAAAAAGAGGGGCCCGCGUCUGAUUAGCUUGUUGGUAGGGUAAUGGCCUACCAAGGCGACGAUCAGUAGCUGGUCUGAGAGGAUGAUCAGCCCCACUGGGACUGAGACACGGCCCAGACUCCUACGGGAGGCAGCAGUGGGGAAUAUUGGACAAUGGGGGCAACCCUGAUCCAGCAAUGCCGCGUGUGUGAUGAAGGCCUUAGGGUUGUAAAGCACUUUCACUGGUGAAGAUGAUGACGGUAACCAGAGAAGAAGCCCCGGCUAACUUCGUGCCAGCAGCCGCGGUAAUACGAAGGGGGCGAGCGUUGUUCGGAAUUACUGGGCGUAAAGGGCGCGUAGGCGGUCUUUUAAGUUAGGCGUGAAAGCCCCGGGCUCAACCCGGGAACUGCGCUUAAGACUGGAAGACUAGAAAACGGAAGAGGGUAGUGGAAUUCCCAGUGUAGAGGUGAAAUUCGUAGAUAUUGGGAAGAACACCAGUGGCGAAAGCGGCUACCUGGUCCGAUUUUGACGCUGAGGCGCGAAAGCGUGGGGAGCAAACAGGAUUAAAUACCCUGGUAGUCCACGCCGUAAACGA
rnacentral:rRNA from 1 species